AUACGUAGGGUGCGAGCGUUGUCCGGAAUUACUGGGCGUAAAGAGCUCGUAGGUGGUUUGUCGCGUCGUCUGUGAAAUUCCGGGGCUUAACUCCGGGCGUGCAGGCGAUACGGGCAUAACUUGAGUACUGUAGGGGAGACUGGAAUUCCUGGUGUAGCGGAGAAAUGCGCAGAUAUCAGGAGGAACACCGGUGGCGAAGGCGGGUCUCUGGGCAGUAACUGACGCUGAGGAGCGAAAGCAGGGGUAGCGAACAGGAUUAGAUACCCUGGUAGUCCAUGCCGUAAACGGUGGGCGCUAGGUGUAGGGGUCUUCCACGACUUCUGUGCCGUAGCUAACGCAUUAAGCGCCCCGCCUGGGGAGUACGGCCGCAAGGCUAAAACUCAAAGGAAUUGACGGGG
rnacentral:rRNA from 1 species